UACGUAGGGGGCAAGCGUUGUCCGGAUUUAUUGGGCGUAAAGAGCGUGUAGGCGGCCAGACAAGUCUGCUGUGAAAACUCGAGGCUCAACCUCGAGCUGUCGGUGGAAACUGUCUGGCUAGAGUCCGGAAGAGGAGAGUGGAAUUCCUGGUGUAGCGGUGAAAUGCGCAGAUAUCAGGAAGAACACCUAUGGCGAAAGCAGCUCUCUGGGACGGUACUGACGCUGAGACGCGAAAGCGUGGGGAGCGAACAGG
rnacentral:rRNA from 1 species